rnacentral:rRNA from 1 species
GGGUUGUGAGGUUAAGCGACUAAGCGUACACGGUGGAUGCCCUGGCAGUCAGAGGCGAUGAAGGACGUGCUAAUCUGCGAUAAGCGUCGGUAAGGUGAUAUGAACCGUUAUAACCGGCGAUUUCCGAAUGGGGAAACCCAGUGUGUUUCGACACACUAUCAUUAACUGAAUCCAUAGGUUAAUGAGGCGAACCGGGGGAACUGAAACAUCUAAGUACCCCGAGGAAAAGAAAUCAACCGAGAUUCCCCCAGUAGCGGCGAGCGAACGGGGAGCAGCCCAGAGUCUGAAUCAGUGUGUGUGUUAGUGGAAGCGUCUGGAAAGGCGCGCGAUACAGGGUGACAGCCCCGUACACAAAAAUGCACAUAUUGUGAGCUCGAUGAGUAGGGCGGGACACGUGGUAUCCUGUCUGAAUAUGGGGGGACCAUCCUCCAAGGCUAAAUACUCCUGACUGACCGAUAGUGAACCAGUACCGUGAGGGAAAGGCGAAAAGAACCCCGGCGAGGGGAGUGAAAAAGAACCUGAAACCGUGUACGUACAAGCAGUGGGAGCACGCUUAGGCGUGUGACUGCGUACCUUUUGUAUAAUGGGUCAGCGACUUAUAUUCUGUAGCAAGGUUAACCGAAUAGGGGAGCCGAAGGGAAACCGAGUCUUAACUGGGCGUUAAGUUGCAGGGUAUAGACCCGAAACCCGGUGAUCUAGCCAUGGGCAGGUUGAAGGUUGGGUAACACUAACUGGAGGACCGAACCGACUAAUGUUGAAAAAUUAGCGGAUGACUUGUGGCUGGGGGUGAAAGGCCAAUCAAACCGGGAGAUAGCUGGUUCUCCCCGAAAGCUAUUUAGGUAGCGCCUCGUGAACUCAUCUCCGGGGGUAGAGCACUGUUUCGGCAAGGGGGUCAUCCCGACUUACCAACCCGAUGCAAACUGCGAAUACCGGAGAAUGUUAUCACGGGAGACACACGGCGGGUGCUAACGUCCGUCGUGAAGAGGGAAACAACCCAGACCGCCAGCUAAGGUCCCAAAGUCAUGGUUAAGUGGGAAACGAUGUGGGAAGGCCCAGACAGCCAGGAUGUUGGCUUAGAAGCAGCCAUCAUUUAAAGAAAGCGUAAUAGCUCACUGGUCGAGUCGGCCUGCGCGGAAGAUGUAACGGGGCUAAACCAUGCACCGAAGCUGCGGCAGCGACGCUUAUGCGUUGUUGGGUAGGGGAGCGUUCUGUAAGCCUGUGAAGGUGUGCUGUGAGGCAUGCUGGAGGUAUCAGAAGUGCGAAUGCUGACAUAAGUAACGAUAAAGCGGGUGAAAAGCCCGCUCGCCGGAAGACCAAGGGUUCCUGUCCAACGUUAAUCGGGGCAGGGUGAGUCGACCCCUAAGGCGAGGCCGAAAGGCGUAGUCGAUGGGAAACAGGUUAAUAUUCCUGUACUUGGUGUUACUGCGAAGGGGGGACGGAGAAGGCUAUGUUGGCCGGGCGACGGUUGUCCCGGUUUAAGCGUGUAGGCUGGUUUUCCAGGCAAAUCCGGAAAAUCAAGGCUGAGGCGUGAUGACGAGGCACUACGGUGCUGAAGCAACAAAUGCCCUGCUUCCAGGAAAAGCCUCUAAGCAUCAGGUAACAUCAAAUCGUACCCCAAACCGACACAGGUGGUCAGGUAGAGAAUACCAAGGCGCUUGAGAGAACUCGGGUGAAGGAACUAGGCAAAAUGGUGCCGUAACUUCGGGAGAAGGCACGCUGAUAUGUAGGUGAAGUCCCUUGCGGAUGGAGCUGAAAUCAGUCGAAGAUACCAGCUGGCUGCAACUGUUUAUUAAAAACACAGCACUGUGCAAACACGAAAGUGGACGUAUACGGUGUGACGCCUGCCCGGUGCCGGAAGGUUAAUUGAUGGGGUCAGCGCAAGCGAAGCUCUUGAUCGAAGCCCCGGUAAACGGCGGCCGUAACUAUAACGGUCCUAAGGUAGCGAAAUUCCUUGUCGGGUAAGUUCCGACCUGCACGAAUGGCGUAAUGAUGGCCAGGCUGUCUCCACCCGAGACUCAGUGAAAUUGAACUCGCUGUGAAGAUGCAGUGUACCCGCGGCAAGACGGAAAGACCCCGUGAACCUUUACUAUAGCUUGACACUGAACAUUGAGCCUUGAUGUGUAGGAUAGGUGGGAGGCUU